rnacentral:rRNA from 1 species
AAUAUUGGGCAAUGGGGGAAACCCUGACCCAGCGACGUCGCGUGAGGGAAGAAGGUCUUCGGAUUGUAAACCUUUGUCAACAGGGAAGAAGCAAGUGACGGUACCCGAAGAGGAAGCCACGUCUAACUACGUGCCCGCAGCCGCGGUAAUACGUAGGUGGCGAGCGUUAUCCGGAAUUACUGGGUGUAAAGGGUGUGUAUGCGGGGAUGCAAGUCAGAUGUGAAAUCCAUGGGCUCAACCUAUGGGGUGCAUUUGAAACUGCGUUUCUUGAGUGUGGGAGAGGUAAGCGGAAGUCCUAGUGUAGCGGUGAAAUGCGUAGAUAUUAGGAGGAACACCAGUGGCGAAGGCGGCUUACUGGACCACAACUGACGCUGAGACACGAAAGCGUGGGGAGCAAACAGG